CCUACGGGUGGCAGCAGUGGGGAAUAUUGCACAAUGGGGGGAACCCUGAUGCAGCGACGCCGCGUGGGUGAGGAAGUACCUCGGUAUGUAAAGCCCUAUCAGUAGGGAAGCAAAUGACGGUACCUGUCUAAGAAUCCCCGGCUAACUACGUGCCAGCAGCCGGGGUAAUACGUAGGGGGCAAGCGUUAUUCGGAUUUACUGGGGGUAAAGGGAGCGUAGACGGCGUGCCAAGUCUGAUGUGAAAGGCCGGGGAUCAACCCCGGUACGGACUUGGAAACUGGCAUGCUGGAGUGCCGGAGGGGCAAGCGGAAUGCGUAGUGUAGCGGUGAAAUGCGUAGAUAUUAGGAGGAACACCGGUGGCGAAGGCGGCUUGCUGGACGGUAACUGACGUUGAGGCUCGAAAGCGUGGGGAGCAAACAGGAUUAGAUACCCGAGUAGUC
rnacentral:rRNA from 1 species